AUCAGAAAAGAUAAAUGCAUACCUAAAUUGCUUGUUCGUGAUCAAAAACCCAGAGGACAAGGUCGGUGGUAAAGGAGGACUAGAAAUAGGCAAGGUACUAGUUACGGCCGGCCAUUAUAUAACGGCGGAAGACAAAAAAACAGCGAAGGAUUUUGAUGCCGCGUGACACCAAACGGGAGCGUGGCACGUUCUGAUUGGCCCAAGUAAAUAAGGACUUUUGUCUGGACUGCUGACUCUCAACCAACCCAAGUCCGCUGUCCGAAUUUGGGUCCUCAUUGGACGAGCGAAAUUAUUAAGGUGCAAAAGAGUAGACAAAGAAAGCGAGUGAGAGAAUCUCUCCUACGGCAUAGAUUUGCAACAGCAGAAUCCUCUCAAUAUAAAACCCUAAAUAAUUGGUGUGCUAUUUGCGUGAGAUCAGCUAUGGCUUCUUCUAAAGAGCGCGAGAAUUUCGUCUACGUCGCCAAGCUCGCUGAACAGGCUGAGCGCUACGAUGAGAUGGUGGAGGCUAUGAAGAACGUGGCAAAGCUUGAUGUUGAAUUGACAGUGGAAGAGAGGAACUUGCUGUCUGUUGGGUACAAGAAUGUGAUUGGUGCUCGGAGAGCUUCAUGGAGGAUUCUUUCCUCUAUAGAGCAAAAGGAAGAUGCUAAAGGAAAUGAGGUGAAUGCAAAGCGGAUCAAGGAGUACAGGCACAAGGUUGAAUCUGAGCUCUCAAGCAUCUGUAAUGAUAUUAUGACUGUGAUUGAUGAACAUCUCAUCCCUUCAGCAUCUGCUGGUGAAUCAACUGUCUUCUUCUAUAAGAUGAAAGCAGAUUAUUAUCGUUAUCUUGCUGAAUUCAAAGCAGGCAAUGAGAAGAAAGAGGCUGCUGAUCAUUCUAUGAAGGCAUAUGAGACAGCUACCGCUACUGCAGAGGCUGAGUUGCCUCCUACACAUCCUAUCCGUUUGGGUUUAGCCUUGAAUUUCUCAGUCUUCUAUUAUGAGAUUAUGAAUACUCCUGAGAGGGCCUGCCAUCUUGCCAAGCAAGCUUUUGAUGAAGCUAUAGCAGAGCUUGACACCCUCAGUGAGGAGUCUUACAAAGACAGCACCUUAAUUAUGCAGCUUCUAAGGGACAACCUCACCCUUUGGACUUCUGACAUCACAGAGGAUCCAGAACUGGAGACUAUUCAUGCAGUAGGAGCGGAGAACUGCAUAUAAAAAGAAGAUUCCAUGAGGGACUCCACUGGCAGAUCUGGUGCGGGAGAUGAUGCAGAGUGAAAACAACAGCUUGUGAUAUCGCCUAAGCUUGCGGGAAAUUCUGCCCUUGUGACUUGAUGUGUUUGGGGAAUGACUGGUAUCUGAUAGCCAAUGUUAGAUUAAAUAUAUACCAUCAGUUAAUUCACUCUUGUGUUUUUCUCUCCCUCUCGAAGUGCCAUGUUGUGUUGUGGUUUAUUAUUGCGUGAUGUCUAGACGAGGUUGGUUCAAUUUGUAGUGAGCAGCUUUUGCUCGAGACUAGGCAUUAGGAUUGCUCUGAUUGCCUUUUCUUUUUGGGUGUAAAUGGUACAAACACAGAUGGAGGAAAUCUGCUGUUUGGUUUUCCUCACUACCUUAAAAGCUUACAUUUGGGUUUAUGGUUCCUUGAUCGCCAGCCAGCCAUUGCUAGUAUAAA